GUGCUCUCUUCAGUAGCACAUAUUCUAAAAUUGGAACAAAACAGAGAAGAUUAUCAAGGCCCCUGCACAAGGAUGACAUGCAAACUCAUGAAGGAUUCCAUAUUUUU